rnacentral:rRNA from 1 species
CCCUUAGAUGUCCGGGGCCGCACGCGCGCUACACUGAAGGAAUCAGCGUGGCUUUCUCCCUGACCCGAAAGGGUUGGGAAACCCGUUGAAUCUCCUUCGUGAUAGGGAUUGGGGCUUGAAAUUGUUCCCCAUGAACGAGGAAUUCCCAGUAAGCGCGAGUCAUAAGCUCGCGUUGAUUACGUCCCUGCCCUUUGUACACACCGCCCGUCGCUACUACCGAUUGAAUGACUCGGUGAAAAAUUGGGACCGUGAGUCUGUUUGCUUCAUUGCGAGUGGAUUGAUGGGAACUUUUUUAAACCUCGCCAUUUAGAGGAAGGUGAAGUCGUAACA